CAUAGGUCCCCCAAGUACGUAUAAAUUGAAAGACAAGGGACUGAUAUCUUUCUUGACUUUGAGAAAAAGAGAGAGCUUUUGUUUCGUGGAAUCUGUCUCUUCAGAAGAAUCAACAAUUGCUCGUUUCUGCUUACAAGCACUGGCACGUAUCUUCCGGUCUGAUUAUAGUUGCCGUUUGGUCAAAAAUCUAAAAUCUUGACCCGAAAUAUCAUUUGGUGUAUGUCGAAGGCCCCAAUUUAUCUCAAUUUUCCCUAGAUUUUGCAUCUGGGUCUCUUUGUCUUGCUUUAAUGGACGAUGGUGAGCUAGAUUUCUCGCACCAAGAAGUAUUUUCGGGUACAAACAUGGGUGAGAUGCCAAAUAAUUGUUCAAUGGAUAGUUUUUUUGAUGAACUACUCAAGGAUACUCAUGCUUGUACUCAUACGCACACUUGUAACCCUCCUGGACCUGAUUAUUCUCACACCCAUACUUGCUUUCAUGUGCACACUAAAAUUGUAUCUGCACCUUCUGACGAUAAGACUGGGACUGAUGAUACUGCUGAGUCAACUGAAAAGAAGUCGAAGAAACGCCCCUUAGGAAACAGAGAGGCUGUUCGGAAGUAUAGGGAGAAGAAGAAGGCAAGGGCUGCAUCUUUAGAGGAUGAGGUUGUGAAAUUGAGGGCUUUGAAUCAGCAACUGCUGAAGAGACUGCAGGGACAAGCUGCAUUGGAGGCUGAGGUUGCAAGGCUCAAGUGUUUGCUUGUGGACAUACGGGGAAGGAUUGAAGGGGAGAUUGGAUCUUUUCCAUAUCAGAAAUCAGCUAAUGAUGUGAACUUCCCUAAUCCAAAUUAUUCUGGUGCUUAUGUAAUGAAUCCAUGUAAUAUGCAGUGCAAUGAUCAGGUUUAUUGCCUGCAUCCAGGGGUGGAUGGAAGAAGUGAUGAUGGUAUUGCCUUAAAUGGGCAAGGUUUUAAUGGUUGCGAUUUUGAUAAUCUGCAGUGCCUGGCAAAUCAGAACUCAGCAGCAAAGGAGCUUCCUAGCUGUGGACUUGGGAAUGUAUUAACAAAUGACAAUGGUAAUGGAAAUUCUUCCAGCACAAACAAGAGAAAAGGUAAGACUUCAAGAGGGGCUCGCACUGCAACUGGAGGUUGAAGAUCUGUUUGAAUUGUGUUCUCCUUUUUCAAGAGGGCAUAUAUCACCUUCCAAUAAGUACUUCUGUUGAGCUGCUGAAUCUACUUCCACAAGUUGCUUUGCUGGGUUUGAAUUUAGGGAGGGGCCCAUCAUUGAUGUUUCAUUAGUGAACCGGACAGAUUGUUGUAAUUGAGGCAACUGUCUCGCGAAAUUUGUGAGGGGCCAGGGGUCUUGCCAACAGCCAUGAUUGAGGAAGAAACCGCCAGGGAUGGAAGGGAUUGUUCUAUGGCAUGCAUUCCUUCUGCUUUGUGGUCAAUUUUUAUCCGAAUGAAUUUCAUUUGGCUAACUCAUCCAGAAAUGUUCAACUGAUAUUUGAAAAUGGUGCUGCAAAUUUUUUGUAAGAUUUUCUUUUUAUUUUGCAGAGAAAUAGGGUAGGAUACACUGUUGGCAAUUUUUAGGUAAAAUACAUAUUUGCAAAUCCGAAUUUUUGUUCAUUUGGUCAUUUUUACACUUUUAAUUUUUGAUAUAACUUUUUAACUUUUGAUAUAACUUAAUAGACAUUUGUACUUUUUUUUUGUAAUAUUUAAAUACUUUUUAACAUA